rnacentral:lncRNA from 1 species
UCACUGAGCACCUUCCACAUACAAGAUAGUGGGCUAGGCACCAGGAAUACAACAGGAAACACACUAGACAUGGCUCUGCCCUCACGGGGCUUUUCUAAUACCACAGUUCAGUAGAUGAUGAUAUCCUUACUGGACCAGACACACAACCAACUUCAUUUACUCCAGAAUUGGGCUCCACAGUUGCAGCUGUCCUGGGAAGCACAUAGGCUCAGAUUCCAUACCCUGAGUGGUAAGGUCUUGAGCAUUUUGGCUCUUAAUCACUCACUGAAGUAGAAAGAAUCCACCUCCUUGCCCAAGCACUGAGUCCCUGGUGUCAAGCCCGAGUGACCAACUGAGAAUGCACUUGCCCUUCAGAAACGUGUGGAAUGGAUGAUUCCAGCCUCCAAAAUUGUCCCCAGUGAUCCUCGACUUCUGGUGUUCAUGCCAUUGUGUAGUCCCCACCCACAUGGUAUCAGAUUUGGUCUGUAUAACCUACAGAGACAGGAUAAGUCACUUCUAAUGCUAGGUCAUAAAAAUUCUGAGGCUUUCUCCUUUUGCUGUCUCUUGGAUCACUUUCUCUGAGGGAUUCAGAUGCUAUGUUGUGAGAAUACUCAGACAGCUCAUGGAGAGACCCACAUGAGGCCUCCUUCUAACAACAUGUGAGUGAGCCAUCUGAGAGGGGAAUCCUUCAGCCCCAGUCAAGCCUUCAGAUGCCUGCUGCCCCUGCAGACAUUCUAACUGCAACUUCAUGAGAGAGCCUGAGCCAAAACCAUCCAGCUGAGCCACUCCCAAAUUCCUU